AAAAGUAAAUACAAUUUUCUGAAGUAUCUUGUUACAAAUAACAUGUUUUUUUUCCAGGCCUUUCAAAUACAAAUGACAAAAUACUCAAAAGUAAUUGAAAAACUUUUUUCAAAUGCAUGCAACAGAAAUACAGCCCAUCUCUUACUGCAUUAGUGCAAUUUGUAAAUUGUUCUUACCCAUCCAAUAAUAAACCACCAAAGUCAGAUCUUUCUAAUGUUUUAAAUUAAAACAUCUACUCCAUUCUAUCCAAUGCCUUGUGCUUUGUGUUUAAGCACGGCUGUGCUGCAGCCAUGAGUACGAGGCGAAGCUGAGCUAUUUCAAAGCAUCACAAGCAAAAUGUAUCAUUUAUUUUCUUUUUCUCAUAUAACCCUUCCAGAAACCUUUCAUUCAAAUGGAAAACAUCUUCCAGGUGUUUACAGUGAGUGCUGAGGAAUAUCAAAAUGAUGGGAAUCCCAUUCUGGAACACGAACAAACUGAGAUACCACAACUCAAACAAGUUCUGGAGGAUAUGAAUGAGAGACACACAAAGACUGCAAUUAGAGACUAUGUAUCUGGAGUCUAUGGGAUCCUCUCGUUGAUCAAAGCAGCCAACUCCAACGACAUGACGAUGGUUGAGACGAAAUCAAACAUGUACCAACUGCUAAAGGAUUCACUGGAGGAGCAGCUUUCUACCAUCACAUCCCUCAUGACAACACAUUACGAUGACCUUAAAAAACUCCUGUCAGAGUAAGUUGCCAAGUCAGAAAAGUCAUGCUU
rnacentral:lncRNA from 8 species